AUUGAACGCUGGCGGCAUGCCUUACACAUGCAAGUCGAACGGCAGCACGGGAGCAAUCCUGGUGGCGAGUGGCGAACGGGUGAGUAAUAUAUCGGAACGUGCCCAGUAGUGGGGGAUAACUGCUCGAAAGAGCAGCUAAUACCGCAUACGACCUGAGGGUGAAAGGGGGGGAGCGCAAGACCUCUCGCUAUUGGAGCGGCCGAUAUCAGAUUAGCUAGUUGGUGGGGUAAAGGCCUACCAAGGCAACGAUCUGUAGUUGGUCUGAGAGGACGACCAGCAACACUGGGACUGAGACACGGCCCAGACUCCUACGGGAGGCAGCAGUGGGGAAUUUUGGACAAUGGGCGCAAGCCUGAUCCAGCAAUGCCGCGUGCAGGAAGAAGGCCUUCGGGUUGUAAACUGCUUUUGUCAGGGAAGAAAUCCUCUAGGUUAAUACCCUUGGGGGGAUGACGGUACCUGAAGAAUAAGCACCGGCUAACUACGUGCCAGCCGCCGCCGUAAUAC
rnacentral:rRNA from 1 species